UGCCAGCAGCCGCGGUAAUACGAAGGGUGCUAGCGUUGUUCGAGAAUUACUGGGCGUAAAGAGCAUGUAGGCGGAUGAAUUAGUCAGAGGUGAAAGCCCCGAGCUCAACUUGGGAACUGUCCUUUGAUACUGUUUAUCUAGAGUCCGAGAGAGGUUAGUGGAAUUCCCAGUGUAGAGGUGAAAUUCGUAGAUAUUGGGAAGAACACCAGUGGCGAAGGCGGCUAACUGGCUCGGUACUGACGCUGAGAUGCGAAAGUGUGGGGAGAUAACAGCGUUAGAUA
rnacentral:rRNA from 1 species